CAACCAAAUCAGAUGAGCUUAAAAUGCUUUUGAACUUGAAGGCCUCUCUCAACAAUUCAAAAACUAAUGUGUUCAGCUCAUGGACACGAGAAAAUUCUGUUUGCAGCUUCACUGGAAUUAUUUGCAAUGCUAAUGGACUCGUCAAGGAAAUCAAUCUUUCCCAACAACAGCUUCAGGGUGUUCUUCCUUUUGAUUCAAUAUGUGCUUUGCAAUCGCUGGAGAAGAUUUCUUUAGGAUCAAAUUCUCUUCAUGGUAGCAUCACUGAGGACUUGAAGAAUUGCAGAAGCUUGCAGGUUUUGGAUUUGGGUGGGAAUUUGUUUUCUGGACAGGUUCCUGACUUGUCUAGUUUACGAGAAUUGAGGAUCCUGAAUUUAAAUGGUAGUGGAUUUUCAGGGUCAUUCCCAUGGUAUUCACUGGAGAAUCUUACCAAUCUAGAAUUUUUAAGUCUUGGAGACAA
rnacentral:misc_RNA from 1 species